rnacentral:misc_RNA from 1 species
AAGUCGUAACAAGGUAACCGUAGGUGAACCUGCGGUUGGAUCAUUAACAAAAUUGGUAGUCUUUUUUUUUUAUAAAAAAAGCUAUUUUAACACCAAUGUGAACUUGUAUUAUUGUUUCUUUUUCUUUUUUUUUUCUUGAUUAAAUAAAUUUUUUUGGUUUGACCAAAAAGUUUUUUUUAUUUUGAGGAGGGAAAGAAAAAACCAUUUUAAACUUAAAAAGAAUUUAUAUAUUUUGACCUUUAAAUAAAAGUGUUUUAUACUUUAAAAAAAAAAUAAUUUAAAAAAACAACUUUUGGCAACGGAUCUCUAGGCUCUU